GGUCAAGCUACAAAGAGCACAAGGGGAAUGCCUUGGCACCGAGAGCCGAAGAAGGACGUGACUAACUGCGAUAAGCCACGGGGAGCCGUAAGUGGGCGCUAUAUCCGUGGAUUUCCGAAUGGAGCAAUCCGGCAAGAGGAAAGUCUUGUCAUCAUACGCUGAAUACAUAGGCAUAUGAGGGGAACCGCCUGAACUGAAACAUCUAAGUAGGGCGAGGAAGAGAAAUCAACAGAGAUUCCGUAAGUAGUGGCGAGCGAACGCGGAAGAGGCCAAACCGAGUGUAGUAAUACCUUCGGGGUUCGGACAGAGCACGGUAUGCAAAGAUUUAGCCGAAUGACAUGGGAAGGUCAAUCAUAGAAGGUGAGAAUCCUGUAGGCGAAAAGUCGAAGCAGCCAUCUGUAUCCAGAGUACCGCCGGACACGUGAAACCCGGUGGGAAGAUGGGGGGACCAUCCUCCAAGCCUAAAUACUACUCGGUGACCGAUAGUGAAGAAGUACUGUGAAGGAAAGGUGAAAAGCACCCCUGGCGGGGAGUGAAAGAGAACCUGAAACCUUGUGUUUACAAGCACUGAAAGUCAUUCAAUGGACGAUCAGGUACCUUUUGUAGAAUGGUCCGGCGAGUGAAUGUAUUUGGCAAGGUUAAGCACUUCAGGUGUGGAGCCGCAGCGAAAGCGAGUCUGAACAGGGCGUAAGAAGUCAAAUGUAUUCGACCCGAAACCGGGUGACCUACCCAUGACCAGGCUGAAGUAAAGGUAAAACUUUAUGGAGGGCCGAACCGACUCUCGUUGAAAUGAUAGCGGAUGAGUUGUGGGUAGCGGAGAAAUUCCAAUCGAACCCGGAGAUAGCUGGUUCUCU
rnacentral:rRNA from 1 species